rfam:Eubacterium sp. 68-3-10 unitig_0:quiver, whole genome shotgun sequence.
UCCUUAUCAAGAGCGGCGGAGGGAAUAGGCCCUUUGAUGCCCGGCAACCUGGAUGCGGCGCAAUACGGCGCUGCCGGCAAGGUGCUACGUCCUACAGUAUAUCUGAAAGAUGAGGA